ensembl:lncRNA
CCAGCACCCAUAUUCAUCAUGGCAUACUUUAAUGUCUGAACCAUAAAAUAAGGCCCAUCUUUUAUUUGUGUGUUUUUAUAGCCUCACAGGAGCUGAUGAAUGCUCCAUCCUGUACGGAGACUGCCAAAUUAUGGAAGAACCUACCAAAAACAGAGAAUGUGCCCACCAUCACACUGGAGCAUGCAACAAUGUCUUCAAACGUGACUUUCAUCCGAUGGAAGGUUCACCAAGACUGGGUUACAAAGGUGAAGUAUUUUCCAAACUUCUCUGCGGUUGUGUCUUCAUCCAAUGACGAGGCCUCCUCUGUCGUCAUAG